AAAAAAUUGGGUGCAGGAGCCUGCAGACCUCCCGCGGUGCAGGACGACUCCGGAUGUGCGACGCGUGAACCGAAAAAACAUCCGCCGCCUGUGAUCGCCAGCUCGAUCACGCCCCGCGUGAUAACCCCGGUCGGCUCGCAAGCAGAUGCUCGCAAGCAGCGCUCGGCUCGGGACGGCAAUUUUUCUCCGCUCGGCUCCGCAGGGCACUCGCUCAGCUCAGUCGCGCCCCUCUCCUCCUCAUUCCCCUUCCCUCAUCUCUUGAGAAAUUUCUGACGCAAGCCUCUGCCGCCGCCACCGUCAUCACCAAAAUCUGGCCGUGAUGGGAGGCCCCCUCUCCUCCUCGUUCCCCUUCCCUCGCCUCUCGGGAAAUUUCUGACGCAAGCCCCCGCCGGCGUCGCCGUCAUCACCAGAAUCUGGCUGUGAUUGGAAGGCUCUGGCGUGUACGUCUACAACCUCUGCCGCCAGGGCCGCACCUCCGACGCCACCGGCAUACUCCUCGCCGCCGAGGGCUCCGGCUCCUCCGUCGACAUCGUCACAGGGUACUGAUGGUAUGACCACGUCAUCGUUGUGCGCUGGUUCAUCUAUGAUUCCUUGCUUGCAGUUGCAGGUUGUGAAUCAUGAAUCUGCAAAGAAACCAAUAAAUUUCAAGGUGAUGACAGUGAUGUAUUCCAUUUGCUAUUGUGGCUGAUGCAGUUGAGAAUGUAUACUGCCAAUUUGAGAAUUUCAGUUUCUUGCUACCUCUCCUUGCUGAAUGUUUGUGGUAAAGCGAAGUGCUAACUACUUUUUUUUUGACAGGUUGUUAAAUUAUCAAGGGCUAAGAGCAUCUUCUACCAUAACUAAAAUCUGCACUGAUCUGCAGUGAUGUCAAACAAUGUUCUAUUUGAUGUGUUAGUUUGCUCUCAAGGCUGGGUGCGGGAAGAUCAAGUUUGCUGAACACUAGCUGUGGGAAGAUCAAGUUUGCUAAAAUACAAGUCUCAUAUAAAUGAAGCACUGAUCUUUAACGAGGAGGCCGCUGGGCAUAUAUUCAGCAUUGCAAUGAGGACUCAACUCAAGAGGCAUGGAUGUAUAGUGUAGUUAUAAAUUUUUACAGUGCAUGGAUGUGCUAAAAAUAGAGAGAUUGUUGAUGCUAUUCUAUUCUGAUGUAUAGUGUAGUAAUCAAAUUGGUCGAUGUAUGGAUGUGUUGAAAAAAAUGAAAUUGUUCUGAAAUAAAUAUUGAUGUUCUGAAAACUGAGUUUGUCUCUCUCAUUUGGAGAUUCUGAAAUACAAGUGCGAACAUUUGCAAUGUACAUAUGGAAUGCAAGGAAAUAUUGUGUGGAUGUGUUUAAAAAAUAAGGUCGUCUUUCUCAUUAUACAGUGUAUCAUUUGCAAAAUUAAAAAUCGGG
rnacentral:lncRNA from 1 species